rfam:Triticum urartu cultivar G1812 contig1068982, whole genome shotgun sequence.
UUAAUAUUCCCUCUGUCCGGAAAUACUUGUCAUCAAAAUGAAUAAAAGGAGAUGUAUCUAGAUGUAUUUUAGCUCUAGAUACAUCAUUUUUUGUUCAUUUUGAUGAUAAGUAUUUUCAGAUGGAGGGAGUACAUU